GAACCGACUACAUCAGCUCCAACCUCAACUUCAGCUGCCACAAUGACAACUGCUCCAUAUAACGGUACAUGUGUAACGGAUAUCGACUGUGCUGUUCCUCCUGGACGGACUUGCUCUGGUGGUGUCUGCAUAUGUUCCAUCGGAUACGACAUGGAUGAGACUAGCGUUGAGUGCAGAAGACUAACAGAAUGCACAUCAUUCGGAUCCGAGUUCACU